rnacentral:lncRNA from 1 species
CCCCAGGGAGCAGAUUGCAGAGCUCCAGAAGGUGGCAGCCGUGCCUCAGACCCACAUCGCCGUUGUGGGGAACACAGGCGCAGGGAAGAGCUGCUUGCUGAACGCCCUCCUGGAGGAGGAGUGCGUGCUGCCCACCUCGGCCAUGAGGGCUUGCACCGCCGUGGUGGUGGAGAUCUCCAGAGCAGCAGGCGGCAGCCCCUACGANGCGGACGUGGAGUUCUUGUCGCACCAAGAGUGGUACAAAGAGCUAAAAGCGCUGCUGGAAGACAUGAAAGACAAGUCUGGUAACUUGCGAAAGCGGUGUCCGGAUCGCAAAAGCGAAGCUGGGGCAGCCUACUGUCGGGUGAAGGCUGUCUACGGGGCGGUGGAGGAGCUGGAGAAGCUGCAGCGCGUGCAGGAUGUCACCCGGCACCUGGGCACCGUGAAACGCAUCUGUGCUGAUACGGCAGCAGACUUCCGCACCAAGAUUGAGAGUUACGUCGACUGUCGGACGGAUAACCUGCGUGAGAUGAAAGGUGGGGAGUUCUGGCCAAUUGUGAAAUGCGUGAGAAUCCGUCUGGCCAAAGCGGAGGUUUUGAAAACGGGAGCCGUGCUUGUGGAUUUGCCUGGAAUCCGGGACUCCAACGUGGCGAGAGACAGCGUGGCCAAAGAGGUAGGGCGGGGGNAGUGGAGAGAAGUUUCACAGGACAGCUCU